AUUGAACGCUGGCGGCAUGCCUUACACAUGCAAGUCGAACGGUAACGGGCCUUCGGGUGCCGACGAGUGGCGAACGGGUGAGUAAUACAUCGGAACGUGCCCGAUCGUGGGGGAUAACGAGGCGAAAGCUUUGCUAAUACCGCAUACGAUCUACGGAUGAAAGCAGGGGACCGCAAGGCCUUGCGCGGACGGAGCGGCCGAUGGCAGAUUAGGUAGUUGGUGGGAUAAAAGCUUACCAAGCCGACGAUCUGUAGCCGGUCUGAGAGGAUGAUCAGCCACACUGGGACUGAGACACGGCCCAGACUCCUACGGGAGGCAGCAGUGGGGAAUUUUGGACAAAGGGCGCAAGCCUGAUCCAGCCAUGCCGCGUGCAGGAUGAAGGCCUUCGGGUUGUAAACUGCUUUUGUACGGAACGAAAAGCCUUCUUUUAAUACAGGAGGGUCAUGACGGUACCGUAAGAAUAAGCACCGGCUAACUACGUG
rnacentral:rRNA from 1 species